GCCUGCUAAAAAUGGACUGUGUCCAAUGACAAACAGAAGAGAAUACUUUGCACUGCUUUAAUAGAGACUGUAAUAUUGUUAUUUUAUAGAGUUUUAAACAAAACAAAUUUUUGUUUUCUAAUACUCACAGUACUGACUCGGGAUGAGAGAAGGAAAGCGCUGGGUAGAGAAGGGCAGGUCCCUGGCUAGGGCUUCACCUCAGGUCCUGUGCACACGCAUAUAGGGGAGGACAAGCGCUCCUGUUUUCAUGCCCAAGUUUGCAUUUUCCAAGACCACCUGGCCUGCCACGUCCCCUAUCCUGUGCCUGUAAAAACCCCAAGACAGGCAGGCAGGCACAGAAGUGGCUGGACGUCGAGAGGAACACAUUGGCGGAAGAACACACAAGCAGUUGCACACAUUGGCGGAAGAACACACAAGCAGCUGUGCCACACAAGCAGCUGUGCAGACGCACGUUAAGAGGAGCGCACGUUGAGAGGAGCGCACGUACGUUGAGAGGAGCGCACGUACGUUGAGAGGAGCGCACGUACGUUGAGAGGAGCGCACGUACGUUGAGAGGAGCGCACGUACGUUGAGAGGAGCGCACGUACGUUGAGAGGAGCGCACGUACGUUGAGAGGAGCGCACGUACGUUGAGAGGAGCGCACGUACGUUGAGAGGAGCGCACGUACGUUGAGAGGAGCGCACGUACGUUGAGAGGAGCGCACGUACGUUGAGAGGAGCGCACCGGAGAAAGAACACACGAGCUGCGGGACAGUGAGAGGAACACACUGGUAGAAGAGCACACAGGCAGCUGGAUGUCGAGAGGAGCGGAAGAGCACAGCGACAGGCACUGGUGUCGACCAGCGGAACGACGUGGAGUUUGGCCUGGGAGGUCAGAGAAGAAUUUGGCUGCUGGGCAGCCCCACUAUAGGGGAAAACCACCUUCCCACUCCAUUCCCCUUCUGAUCUCCCCAUCCACCUCGCUGAGAGCUACCACAACUCAAUAAAAAACCUAGCACUCGAUCUCCAAGCCCACAUGUGAUCCAAUUUUUCCCGUGCACUAAAGCAAGAACCUGGGAUACAGAAAGCCGUCUGUCCUUGUGAUAAGGCAGAGGGUCUAAUUGAGCUGAUUAACACAAGCCACCUGCGGACAGCUAAGCUGAAAAAGCAUCCUGUAACACACGCCCACUGGGGCCUCAGGAGGUGUAAACAUUCACCCCGAGAGGCUGCAUGGGUCCGCGCCCAUGGUCCCCAUGACUUGCCUGUUUGCCUGCUCUGGCUAAGGGUCUUGACCAGUGGGGCACUGAAGAAGCGAGCCACACCUCCAUCGUACGCCCUGCGAGGAGGGGUCUCACUCAGUGACCCAGGCUGAAUGCAGUGGAACAAUCAUGGCUUACUGUAGCCUUGACCUUGAGGGCUUAAGCAAUCCUGCCACCUCAGCCUGCCUAGUACUGGGACUACAGGUACGCGCCACCACGCCCAGAAACAUCAAAUAUAUUCAGCUCCCGUCUCUCUUCAACCAUGUAAAAUUAUUUCAACAACUAUCAGCUAUUGAAGGUGAAACUGGCAUGUCUGUUUGUUCUUCUCUUCCUGGUGUCAAAGACUCUUAAAGCAUGCAUAUAAAAUAUGAAAGUAAAUAAAACGUAAUCAAAAAUACUAACAUUCAAACAUUUACAUAUCAUUGUUCCUACUAUCCCUUUUUUCUCUGGAUCUCUAAUAGAAAUAACAGUUGGUGUCCAUCAAGUGUUAAGUGAAUAAAUAAAAAAUUACCAAAUUUUUAUAUUUGGUAUAUCUUAUAUUUCUAUAUCUAUACAAAGAAACCUUAUUUGGUAAUAAAAAGAUAUGAAGUAUUGAUAUGCUGAGUCAAAGAUUCCAGUCCAUUAUUACAGUACUGCAUUACUAUAAAACAUCUUGAGUAUGCAAAUCUAUAAAGAAGGAAGUAGGUUAGUGGUUGCUUGUGGCAGGACAGGAGGG
rnacentral:lncRNA from 1 species